rnacentral:rRNA from 1 species
UGGGGAAUAUUGCACAAUGGGCGCAAGCCUGAUGCAGCCAUGCCGCGUGUAUGAAGAAGGCCUUCGGGUUGUAAAGUACUUUCAGUCGGGAGGAAGGUGUCAAGGUUAAUAACCUUGGCAAUUGACGUUACCGACAGAAGAAGCACCGGCUAACUCCGUGCCAGCAGCCGCGGUAAUACGGAGGGUGCAAGCGUUAAUCGGAAUUACUGGGCGUAAAGCGCACGCAGGCGGUUGAUUGAGUCAGAUGUGAAAUCCCCGGGCUUAACCCGGGAAGUGCAUCUGAUACUGGUCAGCUAGAGUCUUGUAGAGGGGGGUAGAAUUCCAUGUGUGGCGGUGAAAUGCGUAGAGAUGUGGAGGAAUACCGGUGGCGAAGGCGGCCCCCUGGACAAAGACUGACGCUCAGGUGCGAAAGAGUGGGGAGCAAACAGG